rnacentral:rRNA from 1 species
UACGGAGGGGGCAAGCGUUGUUCGGAAUUACUGGGCGUAAAGGGCGCGCAGGCGGCUGCUCAAGUCAGGCGUGAAAGGCCUGGGCUCAACCCGGGAAUUGCGCUUGAGACUGGGCUGGCUUGAGUGCGGGAGAGGAUGGUGGAAUUCCCAGUGUAGAGGUGAAAUUCGUAGAUAUUGGGAAGAACACCGGUGGCGAAGGCGGAUCUCUGGGACGGUACUGACGCUGAGACGCGAAAGCGUGGGGAGCGAACGAGG